ensembl:snRNA U6 U6 spliceosomal RNA
UUGCUUUGGCAGCACAUGCACUAAAACUGGAAUGGUGUAGGGAAGAUUAGCAUGGCCCCUGUACACAGAUGACACACAAAUUCACGAAGCAGUCCUUAUUUUU